CCAAUAGCGUAUAUUAAAGUUGUUGCAGUUAAAAAGCUCGUAGUUGAAUUUCGGGAUUGACGUGAUGGUCGUGCCUUACGGGGUAUGAACUGUUGCUGUUGAUUUCUCACCUUCUGGAGAAACUUGAUGUCCUUAAUUGGGUGUCUUGCGGAUCCAGGACCUUUACCUUGAAAAAAUUAGAGUGUUUAAAGCAGGCAUUUUGCUCGAAUACAUUAGCAUG
rnacentral:rRNA from 1 species